CACGAAUGAAAAACACUAUUUCUAAAUGUUAUUAUUCUAAGGAUAGUUUGUUCAAUGACCUGACUUUUCUUUUUUUUUUUUUUUAGUACCAAGAAUUGAACUAAUGACUUUGCACUUGCCAGGAAGGCGCUGUGCCACUGAGUGAUGUCCCUGGUAUAAUCUGGUAUUUUAUAUUCUCCAAAGAAGAGAAGCCAUGUAAAAUAAGUACAAUAUCAGCACCUUCCAGAGCUUCAGCAAGAGGAAAGACCGUGAUCAGUCAGGGACCACAAAGCAAUGAGGCGCACUCUGAAUGCUAAAACACGACUAUUAAGAGCUGAAUUACAGCUGCUAUUGCUGUUUUGCAAUAUUUAUUAAUUUAAUUAAAUCUUUAUAUGCAUCAAUACUUUAACCUCUCAAGAUUUUUUCUCAGCACACAUUUUUAUUGUUAUAUCCCAUGAACUCUACUUUGAAAUAAAACCUUUAAUUAAAAGAGACUUGCUUUCUCAUACUGCUCAAUAUAUAAUAGUCAUCCCUAAAAUGUAGUUCUCAUAUUUUCCAUUUUUAUGCAUAUAUUAAUUUUUAUUAAUGUAAUUAAGGCUGUAUCUAAUAAGUAAGAUGUCUUAUGAAAGAUGAAACUAUUGAAGUCACC
rnacentral:lncRNA from 1 species